rnacentral:rRNA from 1 species
GCAAGUCGAACGAGAAAGUUCCUUCGGGGAUGAGUAGAGUGGCGCACGGGUGAGUAACGCGUGGAUAAUCUACUGGGGAGUGGGGAAUAACAGUUGGAAACGGCUGCUAAUACCGCAUACGCUGCAUAUAUGUCUAUGCAGGAAAGGGGGCCUCUGCAUAUGCUUCCGCUUUUCGAUGAGUCCGCGUCCCAUUAGCUUGUUGGCGGGGUAACGGCCCACCAAGGCGACGAUGGGUAGCUGGUCUGAGAGGAUGACCAGCCACACUGGGACUGGAACACGGCCCAGACUCCUACGGGAGGCAGCAGUGGGGAAUAUUGCGCAAUGGGCGAAAGCCUGACGCAGCGACGCCGCGUGAGGGAUGAAGGUUUUCGGAUCGUAAACCUCUGUCAGAAGGGAAGAAGUUGCAUGGGGCCAAUCACCUGUGCAUUGACGGUACCUUCAAAGGAAGCACCGGCUAACUCCGUGCCAGCAGCCGCGGUAAUACGGAGGGUGCGAGCGUUAAUCGGAAUUACUGGGCGUAAAGCGCACGUAGGCUGUAUGUCAAGUCAAGGGUGAAAUCCCACGGCUCAACCGUGGAACUGCCUUUGAAACUGGCAAACUGGAGUAUGUGAGAGGGCGGCGGAAUUCCUGGUGUAGGAGUGAAAUCCGUAGAUAUCAGGAGGAACAUCAGUGGCGAAGGCGGCCGCCUGGCACAAAACUGACGCUGAGGUGCGAAAGCGUGGGUAGCAAACAGGAUUAGAUACCCUGGUAGUCCACGCUGUAAACGAUGGAUACUGGGUGUUGGGUUUUAUUGACUCGGCGCCGUAGCUAACGCGUUAA